UACGUAGGCAGCGAGCGUUGUUCGGAGUUACUGGGCGUAAAGGGUGUGUAGGCGGUUUUCUAAGUUUGGUGUGAAAUCUCCCGGCUCAACUGGGAGGGUGCGCCGAAUACUGAGUGACUCGAGUGCGGGAGAGGAGAGUGGAAUUCCUGGUGUAGCGGUGAAAUGCGUAGAUAUCAGGAGGAACACCGGUGGUGUAGACGGCUCUCUGGACCGUAACUGACGCUGAGACACGAAAGCGUGGGUAGCAAACAGG
rnacentral:rRNA from 1 species